GAUGAACGCUAGCGGCAGGCCUAAUACAUGCAAGUCGAACGGGAUCAGGGAGCCUGCUCCCUGUGAGAGUGGCGCACGGGUGCGUAACACGUAUGCAACCUACCUUCAACUGGGGGAUAGCCUUCCGAAAGGAAGAUUAAUACCGCAUAACAUAAUUGAAUGGCAUCAUUUGAUUAUCAAACGUCAGGGUUGAAGAUGGGCAUGCGUCCGAUUAGCUAGUUGGUGUGGUAACGGCACACCAAGGCGACGAUCGGUAGGGGAUCUGAGAGGAUGACCCCCCACACUGGUACUGAGACACGGACCAGACUCCUACGGGAGGCAGCAGUAAGGAAUAUUGGUCAAUGGACGCAAGUCUGAACCAGCCAUGCCGCGUGCAGGAAGACGGUCCUCUGGAUUGUAAACUGCUUUUGUUAGGGAAGAAACCCUCGGAUGCGUCCGGGGCUGACGGUACCUAAAGAAUAAGGAUCAGCUAACUCCGUGCCAGCCGCCGCCGUAACAC
rnacentral:rRNA from 1 species